rnacentral:rRNA from 1 species
GAUGAACGCUAGCGGGAGGCUUAACACAUGCAAGUCGAGGGGCAGCACGAGGUAGCAAUACUUUGGUGGCGACCGGCGCACGGGUGAGUAACGCGUAUGCAACCUACCCUGUACAGGGGGAUAACCCGGAGAAAUUCGGACUAAUACCCCAUAAAGAUAUUAUGAGGCAUCUUAUGAUAUUUAAAGCUUCGGUGGUACGGGAUGGGCAUGCGUAACAUUAGCUAGUUGGUAAGGUAACGGCUUACCAAGGCUUUGAUGUUUAGGGGUCCUGAGAGGGUGGUCCCCCACACUGGUACUGAGACACGGACCAGACUCCUACGGGAGGCAGCAGUGAGGAAUAUUGGUCAAUGGGCGGAAGCCUGAACCAGCCAUGCCGCGUGCAGGAUGACGGCCCUACGGGUUGUAAACUGCUUUUCCCCGGGGCGAAUAACCCCUCGCGAGGGGGAGUGCCGGUACCGGGGAACGUAAGGAUCGGCUAACUCCGUG